rnacentral:sRNA from 1 species
GAAGGCAACGCGGUGGACCUGGGCCAGAUGAGCAGCUUCUACAUCGGCCUGGGUUCCCGCCUCCACUGCAAUAUCUUCUCCUACCACUACUCCGGCUACGGUGCCAGCUCGGGCAGGCCCUCCGAGACGAACCUCUGCGCCGACAUCAACGCCGCCUGGCAGGCCCUGCGCACCAGGUGAGGGCGACCCCGGGGGCGGCUCAGCCUGGGCACACCCGAGAGGGGACCAGGCUGGGGGCCGGGGGCCGGGGGAAGGGGCGGGCUUCCCUGGGAGGAAGGUGGGCGGCCCUGCAGGAGGGGAGCCACAGUGGACGCAUGCGGCCAGAGAGCCGGACAGGUGAGCUCAGGCAUGCGGGUGCCGCCUCCACAUGGCUGAGGUGUGGCCAGGCGGUCCCCCCACACCCUGGCCUGUGGACCCAGGCUCCCUGGGAUGCCCUGGCCUGAGGACAGGAAGGGGCUGAGCUUGUCACAGGGGCGUGGACGCCACCCGGCGGGAGGGGGUGGGUGGUGUCAGGGGGUCUGUGCACGUGUGGCUGGGAGCCCACGGGCCGAGGCAGCACUUGUGGCCAGGUGAGGUGAGGCUGCUGCAUCGAGGUCCAGAGGCCUGGCCCAUGAGGCCCCGUGGCUGUGGAGUUCGGCCAUCCCGGGGCAGGGCCUGCAGGGUCAGGUGCAGACCCCCAGCACACACCUGAGGUCUCGGCCAGCCUCGAUUCCAGAUCCAUCCCUGCUAAUCAUCCAGGUCCCCAGCCCUGCGCUUGCCUGGGCCCUUCACUGGUGUUUGAGCACCGCCCGGGCCAGUGCUGCUCUGGACCAGAAGACCCGCGUGGGCCUCUGGAGGCCUUUCCUGCUCGCCACCCGCUGGGGCUGUCUCGUCCUGGCCCUGCCCUGCCCAGCCCAGUGGUCGACCCGCUCCUGCAGGGGCCAGGCGCAGCUCUGAGAAGUCAGAGGCCCUAGGGAGGUGGGGUCCUCGUUGCCUUGGCGAUAUCCCAGGCAGUCCCUGCCGUGGGCCUGGGAGCUGGGUCCCCUGGCACCAACCUGGCUCUGGGGGCCUUCCGGCAGUGUGGGGCGCCGAAACCAAGCACCACUUCACGUAGCUUCCUCGGCCCCCUCCUGUCUCUACUGCCCGGGGCACUGGCAGAGUCACAGCCCCCAUGGCCAGCUCUGAGCUCUGUCUGCUCGGCCAUCUGUCCUGCUGCCGCUUUGUCCUGCAGGAUCCUCUGCCCAGAGCCCUGAGGGGGAGGCCAGAUCGCUCUCAGGGCCUCCACUGAGGAUGUCUCUUGUUUGAUUGUCUGAGUGGUGACAUCCAGGUGGCAGCUGGGGGCUCCUGCCUGGAGCAGGUGACAGGGCUGGGCUGGCUCAGCACACUACUGGCCUUGGCUGCCAGGGAGCAGGCCAGGGAGGCUGAGGCAGAGCUGGGGCCACAGGCACAAGCCAGGCAGCAUCCUUUGGGGCAUGGGUGAGCAGUGAGCUGUGGAGUGCUGUCAGAAGGCUGGGAUUCCAGGCCAGGGAGGGGGACAGCCCUGCUGGUGGAGUCGAAUGCAGGGCAGACGGGAAGGCACACCUGCCCAUGCUCCUGCCUCCCAGGAGGUCAUCUGCCUGGGAUCCGAGCCUGGAGCUUGUAGGAGGAGAGUUCUGGGGUCCCGGCAUCCACAGGGUAGCAGGUGGGUCCCGCGUGGUUGGGACUCGGCACGAGAGGCCUUGGGACUGGUGCUGGAUCAGCUGGGCCAGGGCCGCAUCCAGUGACCUGGGGGUGGGGGUGGCCCUGGGUGGGAUCUGGUGGUGCUGAGGUGGCCGAGGACUUGUCCACUCCCAAGGGAAGGCGCUGGUGGGAGGAGGUGCUGCCCCCGCAGUCGCCACCCUCGAUGUUGACCUGGGUUGGGCUGGCACCUCAUCGGGAUGGGACUCUGAGAAUCCAAAAUCGGGUGGAGACAUCUGGGGACACAGCUGCCUGAAUUCCUCAUGGCCAAGGGUGUGGCAAGGGUUGCAGGGAGGAAGAGUGUACCCUGUCCCCGCCAGUGCACCAGGAACGGCUUUCUAACCUGGGCAGGAAGGCGUGAAGCAUUCAGGAUGUGGGGGUGGGGGGGGCGGGGGGCACACAGUUCCCAGUGUGCGCCAGGGUGACCAGGAGAAGGAGAGGCGCCAGGGCUUCCCCUACCCUAGCCCGAGGGGGACUCCCUAGCUAGGAUCCAGCAGAUCCUGGCUAGGAAACGCCAGUGAACCAUAGCGCCAGGGAACAGGACCAGGCCGCCGGCUCCGCCCACCGCUGCGGUGUUGGGGGACUGGCGGUGGCCUUUGGGACUGGUGUGGAGCCUAGGCCUGACCCACUGACUUGGCUGAGCGGGGAGAGUCGCAUCCGGAGCUGGGCCUGGGGACGCCCGCUGGCGGGAGGGGUGCGCGCGUUGGAGGCCGCGGCUGACUCUGCUCUGGUGCCGCCAGGUACCGCAUCAGCCCGGACAGCAUCAUCCUGUACCGGCAGAGCAUGGGCACGGUGCCCACCGUGGACCUGGCCUCGCGCUAGGAGUCCGCCACGGUGGUGCUGCACUCGCCGCUCACCUUGGACCUGAGCGUCGCCUUCCCCACACCAAGAAGACCUACUGCUUGGAUGCCUUCCCCAAAAUCCAGAAGGUGUCCAAGAUCACGUCGCCCGUGCUCAUCAUCCAGGGCACGAAAGACGAGGUGAUCGACUUCUCGCACGGGCUGGCGCUCUACCAGCGCUGCCCCAAGGCCUGUGGAGCCGCUGUGGGUGGAGGGCGCCGGGCACAAAGACAUCUAGCUCUACAGCCAGUACCUGGAGCGCCUGCGCCGCUUCAUCUCCCAGGAGCUGCGCAGCCAGAGCGCCUAGCGGCCGCAGGGGCCCCAACCGGCCGGACCUCAGCAAUAAGGCGGCCCCCGGACCUCACCCCGCGCCGGGCCCCCAGGGACUGCAUGCGGACCCCCUAGCGGCCCGGGGGACCCCGCCCCGUCCCAGGGGCCGUGGACGAUGUACAGGCAACAGAGCUACGCACUCCUUUCCUUUUGGAAGCAAGAAGAAAAAUCGUGAAAACGGAAAUUAAAGAUUUAAUUUU